UUCCGCCACUGACUUCCGGUUCCUGUGUGCUUCACCCAAAAGGGCCCGGCCUUUCAGCGGAAAGGUUCGGGUGGAAGCGGCGUUCCGGCCAGUUUGCCAAGGAUAGAGUCCAAGAAAGCACAAAGCGAGCAGCAAGUCACUGUGACCCCCUACAGAGCUGGGUGAUCUGGACGCUACCAAGUAGAAUAUAUCAAAAAUCUAUCCCUGGUUUCCCAACAUCCCUCCUAGAGGCAAAGGAGUUCAAUGGCUACAUUCAAACUCCGGAACCAGUCAGUCUUGCGUUUUCACACUGUGUCCAGUCCUGGCAAACUAACAACAUCAACUGGGGCAAGUGACGUCACCUCUCCAAGCCUCUUCAGACGCCUCCAGAGUGCAUGAGGGACUCAGGCCAUAAUUAUAUCCCUUAUAAUGUCUAGCACAUUGCCUGGCACGUAUAGGGAUUCCGUGUUUGUUAAAAAAAAAUUAAUGAAUGAUUACAUAUAUAACAUCCCAAAGGUUAAUUUUGUUUAGGAAGAGCAUUAAAAAUUUGUGCUGCACAGCUUCAUGGCCUUGAGAUGGGCACAUUGCUAAAACAGGAAAUGAAAAGCAUUAACCAUAAAGGAAAAAAAAUAGACAAAUUAGACCUCUUUUAAGGACGUCUCUUUGUUAAAAGACACCAGUGAAAAGGCAAGCCCAAGCCCGAGAGAGAAAGAAGAUAUUUGCUAUACAUGUAACAAAGAACUUGUAUCUAGACUGGACUUAAAGUACCUACAAAUUAAUAAGAAAAAGGCAAGCAAACCGACUGAAAAAAUGGACCUAAGACUUGGAUAGGUAUUUUACUUCAAGAAGCUAUUCAAAUGACCAAUGGAGCAGAUGAAAACGUGCUCACCUUUAUGAGUCACCAGGGAAAUGCAAAUUAAAACCCACACUGAUACCAUUACACACAUGUGGAAAUAGUGAAGGAGGAAAAGAUGAUACUGAGCGAUCCGUGGAUCGGCAGGGACGUGGGACUCUCACGUGUGCUGAUGGAAGCAUGUACUGGUAGGAUGGUAGACUCUCCGGGGGAGACCAUUUGGCAGUGUCUCCAGAAGCUGAACAUACACCUACAAGAUGACCACAGCAGUCCCACCUGUUGGUAUCUAUUCAACAGAACGCAAACAUACGUGCGCUGAAAGACAUGUAAUAGGUUGGACUAUAUGUAUAAAAUUGCUGAUAUCUGACAGCUGUUGAUUUACAAAAACUGCGAUUUCACACGGUUAAACCU